rnacentral:tRNA from 2 species
UCCUUAGUAGCUCAGUGGUAGAGCGGUCGGCUGUUAACCGAUAGGCCGUAGGUUCAAGUCCUACCUGAGGAG